rnacentral:rRNA from 1 species
UACGUAGGGGGCGAGCGUUGUCCGAAGUUACUGGGCGUAAAGCGCGCGUAGGCGGUCCUUUAAGUCUGGGGUGAAAGGUUCAGCGCUCAACGUGAACAGUGCCUUGGAGACUGGGGGACUUGAGUGUGGGAGGGGGCAGUGGAAUUCCUGGUGUAGCGGUGAAAUGCGUAGAUAUCAGGAGGAACACCGAUGGCGAAGGCAGCUGCCUGGC